rnacentral:rRNA from 1 species
UACCCACCCUUAACAAACUACGAAUACCGUUGGUGGUACCAUGGCAGUUAGAACAUCGGGGCUAAGCUCGGUGCUCAAAAGGGAAACAGCCCAGACCAUCAUCUAAGGUCCCUAAAUUAACACUAAGUGGGAAACAAGGUGAAAUUUCUUAAACAGCGAGGAUGUUGGCUUAGAAGCAGCCAUUCAUUUAAAGAGUGCGUAACAGCUCACUAGUCAAGAGAUCUUGCGUGGAAAAUGUAACGGGGCUAAACGUAAUACCGAAGACAUGGGUCUAUGCAUUAGCAUGGGCGGUAGAGGAGCGUUCCUAUCGGCAGUGAAGCAGCAUUGUAAAGUGCUGUGGAGCGGUAGGAAGUGAGAAUGCUGGAAUGAGUAACCAUAAGAGAGGUGAGAAUCCUCUCGGCCGUAAGAGCAAGGUUUCCUGAGCUAUGGUAAUCAUCUCAGGGUUAGUCGGGCCUAAGCCGAGGCGCAGAGCGUAGGCGAUGGACAUCAGGUUAAUAUUCCUGAACCGGUUAAGUUUUGUACACUGUUCACGGGGAAGUAAUCGAAGCGGAUUCAUGGUUUAUCCGUCCAACCGAGCGGGAACGCAAAGGGAGUGAAAGUUACUCUGCGGAGUGAUGAUUCUGGAAAAGGCUCUGGCUAGAAAAGCAGGUGUACGCGUGGCUAUGUCCGCCCGUACCGCAAACCAACACAGGUGCUCGAGUCGAGUAGACUCAGGCUUACGAGCGAACCUUCGCUAAGGAACUCGGCAAUACAGCGACCGUAACUUCGGAAUAAGGUCUGCCCCCACUUCGGUGGAUAUGUUGUCGGUUUCAAAGCUAAUAGGUGUGGUUAAAGAGUAUCUUUAAUACAUCAAUUCUUCUUGAGAUAGAACCAAUAGCUUUUGGAACUGAAGCUCAACGCAUCUAGCGAUGUGGGGGCCGCAGCAAAAGAGCCCACGGAACUGUUUAUCAAAAACACAGGUCUCUGCUAACACGAAAGUGGAUGUAUAGGGGCUGACUCCUGCCCAGUGCUGGAAGGUUAAGGGGAGUGCUUUACGGUGCGAACUGAAGCCCCAGUGAACGGCGGCGGUAACUAUAACCGUCCUAAGGUAGCGAAAUUCCUUGUCAGGUAAGUUCUGACCCGCACGAAUGGAGUAAUCAUGUGGGCACUGUCUCAGCGAAGGACUCGGUGAAAGUGCAUUGGCGGUAAAGAUGCCGUCUGUCCAUACCAGGACGAGAAGACCCCAUGGAGCUUUACUACAGCUUUACAUUGACACGGGUUACAUCAUGUGUAGCAUAGGUGGGAGGCUUUGAAGCAGAUACGCCAGUAUUUGUGGAGUCACCAAGUGAAAUACCACCCUUGUUGUGAUUGUGUUCUCACGCUGACCGUUAUCCGGUUAGCGGACCGUGUAUGGUGGGUAGUUUAACUGGGGCGGUUGCCUCCUAAAGAGUAGCGGAGGCGUUCAAAGGUUGGCUAACUUCGGAUGGAAAUCGAAGUGAUAGUGUAUGCGCAUAAGCCAGCUUGACUGUGAGGAGUACAUUCCAAUCAGAGACGAAAGUCGGAGCAAGUGACCCGCUGUACGAACAUUUGUUCAUUGAAUGUGGGAUCGACAGCGCACACGGAUAAAAGUUACCCUGGGGAUAACAGGCUUAUAGCGCCCAAUAGUUCACAUAGACGGCGCUGUUUGGCACCUCGAUGUCGGCUCAUCACAUCCUGGAGGGGGAGCACCUUCCAAGGGUUCGGCUGUUCGCCGAUUAAAGUGGUACGCGAGCUGGGUUCAGAACGUCGUGAGACAGUUCGGUUUAUAUCCGGUAUGGACGUCAGGAAAUUUGCGAGGAUUUGCCCCUAGUACGAGAGGACCGGGGUGAACGCACCGCUGGUGUACGGAUUGUGGCCACCUGCUGCAUUGUCCGGUAGCUAUGUGCGGACCAGAUAAGCGCUGAAAGCAUAUUAAGCGCGAAACUGACUCCAAGAUUAGGAAUCCCAUGAGGACACAGAAAGAUGAUCUGUUUGAUAGGCGCAAGGUGUAAACCUGGUAACAGGCUAGCCAAAGCGUACUAAUAGUCCAAUCGCCUUUUUAU